rnacentral:rRNA from 1 species
GUGCAGCAGUCGAGAAACUUUACAAUGUGCGAAAGCACGAUAAGGGAACUCUGAGUGCCUCCUAAGGAGGCUGUUCAGGUGUCUAAAAGCACCUGAAGGAAGGGCUGGGUAAGACCAGUGCCAGCCGCCGCGGUAACACCGGCAGCCCAAGUGGUAGCCACGUUUAUUGGGUCUAAAGCGUCCGUAGCCGGCUGGGUAAGUUCCUUGGGAAAUUUGGCUGCUUAACAGUCAAGCUUUCAGGGAAUACUGCCCCGGCUUUGGGGACCGGGAGAGGUCGAGAGGUACUCCAGGGGUAGGGGUGAAAUCCAUUAAUCCUUGGGGGACCACCGGUAGCGAAGGCGUCUGACCAGACCGGGGUCCGACGGUGAGGGACGAAGGCUAGGGGCGCGAACCGGAUUAGAUACCCCUGUAGU